GAUCAUGACGUGCUUGCACUGAAUGAGAUGUUAACACGAAGUGAGUGGCGGACGGGUGAGUAACACGUGGGUAACCUGCCCAGAAGCAGGGGAUAACACCUGGAAACAGAUGCUAAUACCGUAUAACAGAGAAAACCGCCUGGUUUUCUUUUAAAAGAUGGCUCUGCUAUCACUUCAUGGAUGGACCCGCGGCGCAUUAUGCUAGUUGGUGAGGUAACGGCUCACCAAGGCGAUGAUGCGUAGCCGACCUGAGAGGGUAAUCGGCCACAUUGGGACUGAGACACGGCCCAGACUCCUACGGGAGGCAGCAGUAUGGGAAUCUUCCACAAUGGACGCAAGUCUGAUGGAGCAACGCCGCGUGAGUGAAGAAGGGUCUCGGCUCGUAAAGCUCUGUUGUUAAAGAAGAACGUGGGUGAGAGUAACUGUUCACCCAGUGACGGUAU
rnacentral:rRNA from 1 species